GCCAGACUCCUACGGGAGGCAGCAGUGGGGAAUAUUGCACAAUGGGGGGAACCCUGAUGCAGCGACGCCGCGUGGGUGAAGAAGCGCCUCGGCGCGUAAAGCCCUGUCAGCAGGGAAGAAAAUGACGGUACCUGAAGAAGAAGCCCCGGCUAACUACGUGCCAGCAGCCGCGGUAAUACGUAGGGGGCAAGCGUUAUCCGGAUUUAUUGGGUUUAAAGGGAGCGUAGGCCGGCUUUUAAGUCAGCUGUGAAAGUCCGCGGCUCAACCGUGGAAUUGCAGUUGAAACUGGAGGCCUUGAGUGCACACAGGGAUGCCGGAAUUCAUGGUGUAGCGGUGAAAUGCUUAGAUAUCAUGAAGAACUCCGAUCGCGAAGGCAAGUGUCCGGGGUGCAACUGACGCUGAGGCUCGAAAGUGCGGGUAUCAAACAGGAUUAGAUACCCCUGUAC
rnacentral:rRNA from 1 species